AUUGAACGCUGGCGGCCGGCCUAACACAUGCAAGUCGAGCGACCGGCGGACGGGUGAGUAAUGUCUGGGAAACUGCCUGAUGGAGGGGGAUAACUACUGGAAACGGUAGCUAAUACCGCAUACCAUCAGAUGUGCCCAGAUGGGAUUUGCUAGUAGGUGGGGUAAGGGCUCACCUCGACGACGAUGCCUAGCUGGUCUGAGAGGAUGACCAGCGACACGGGGGCGGGGACACAGCCCAGGCUCCUCCGGUAGGCAGCAGGGGGGAAUAUAGCACAAAGGGCGAGAGCCUGAUGCAGCCAGGCCGCGUGUAUGAAGAAGGCCUUCGGGUUGGAAAGUACUUGCAGCGGGAAGACGUUACCCGCAGAAGAGACACCGGCUAGCACCGUGCCAGCCGCCGCGGUAAUUC
rnacentral:rRNA from 1 species